AACGGCCGCGGUAUCCUAACCGUGCGAAGGUAGCGUAAUCACUUGUUCUUUAAAUGAGGACUAGUAUGAAUGGCACCACGAGGGUUAAACUGUCUCCUUUUUUUAAUCAGUGAAACUAAUCUCCCCGUGAAGAAGCGGGGAUUCUUCUAUAAGACGAGAAGACCCUAUGGAGCUUUAAACAAGUUAACACCUGCUACUAAUCUUCACUUUCCUGAACCACCACAUUAAGUAUAGCACCUCUGAUUAACAGUUUUCGAUUGGGGUGAUCAUGGAGCAAAAAUCAACCUCCACGACGAAAAGGAACACCUCCUUGAGCCAAAAGCUACAACUUUAAGCACUAAAAAACUAACGCACUUUGACCCAAUUCUUUGAGCAACGAACCAAGUUACCCUAGGGAUAACAGCGCAAUCCACUUUAAGAGCUCCUAUCGACAAGUGGGUUUACGACCUCGAUGUUGGAUCAGGGUAUCCCAGUGGUG
rnacentral:rRNA from 1 species